rnacentral:rRNA from 1 species
CCUACGGGUGGCAGCAGUGGGGAAUUUUGGACAAUGGGCGAAAGCCUGAUCCAGCAAUGCCGCGUGUGUGAAGAAGGCCUUCGGGUUGUAAAGCACUUUUGUCCGGAAAGAAAUCCUUGGCUCUAAUACAGUCGGGGGAUGACGGUACCGGAAGAAUAAGCACCGGCUAACUACGUGCCAGCAGCCGCGGUAAUACGUAGGGUGCGAGCGUUAAUCGGAAUUACUGGGCGUAAAGCGUGCGCAGGCGGUUUGCUAAGUCCGAUGUGAAAUCCCCGGGCUCAACCUGGGAACUGCAUUGGUGACUGGCAGGCUAGAGUAUGGCAGAGGGGGGUAGAAUUCCACGUGUAGCAGUGAAAUGCGUAGAGAUGUGGAGGAAUCACCCGAUGGCGAAGGCAGCCUCCUCUGGCCAAUACUGACG